UACGGGGGGAGCAAGCGUUGUCCGGAAUUAUUGGGCGUAAAGAGCUCGUAGGCGGUUUGUCGCGUCUGCUGUGAAAUCUGGGGGCUCAACCCCCAGCCUGCAGUGGGUACGGGCAGACUAGAGUGCGGUAGGGGAGAUUGGAAUUCCUGGUGUAGCGGUGGAAUGCGCAGAUAUCAGGAGGAACACCGAUGGCGAAGGCAGAUCUCUGGGCCGUAACUGACGCUGAGGAGCGAAAGCAUGGGGAGCGAACAGG
rnacentral:rRNA from 1 species